UCCCAGGGCACAGAGCCACAGGCAUCUGGGGAUGACAACUGACCACUGAUGGGUUUAGGAUUGUAACCCACUGGUUCCUGUGGUUGGGAAGAGGAGAAGAUGGGGGAGCAGAUACUCUAGCUGCAAAUCUAUCCACACUUCAGCAAUUUUUUGAUGCGAUGCCUUGAUAUUAUGCACAAACCAGCCACCUGGGCCUCUUUUGUGGAUGUUGAUCUCAAAAUGGCCAUCAGGCCUACAAUGACUCUUCUAAGGCAAUAGGAGUGAACAGCAAGAAGACAAGAUAGUACCUUGUACUCAGACAUCACUUCUCAUUUGCCAUUUGGACAACGGUGAUGGAACUGCUGUUUUUUUGCCCACGGAGAAGUGGAGUGAAGGGUCUGGAGCUGGUCUUGCAGUUACCCUGGACAAAAGAAGUUUAAGACUUAGGCUCAUUCCUGAAGAACACAUAGAGAAGGCUGACAAAAUAUAUAUAUUCACAGCUUUGGCCUAAAGGUUGCUGGAUGACCAAUAAGUAAUACAAAGAGAAAUGGCCUUUUCUAGAGUUGUAGUUCUUUUCCAGCAAAACCGUCCUGUCAUGAUAAAAGCUUACAAUUUUGGAGAUAUGCUUUCCCAGCUACCUUUGCAGAUACACCCAGAUUCCAAGUUCCCAACAACGUGAAGGCCAGAAGAAAGAAAACAGUUUUUCUUUCACCACAGUCCAAGACCUGCCUCCCAAAUGGUUACAAGUGGGAAAUUCCACUGUCUGUUUCUCCCAGGGAAAAUCCUAUCUCCAACUCACAUGAGAAUUCAGUAACUGAUCAUUAGUACAUUUUUCAAAAGCAUGUUCUAGGCUUUGAGGUUAUACUACUGAUCACAUUUGGGUCUGUGAUCUCAUGGAGCUCACAUUCCAGUUGGAGAGAGAGUAAACAGAUGUGGAGUCAGGCAAAGUUUCAAGCAAUAUCUCAUGAAAUGUUGUUUUAUGGCUCUAAAGAAAGAUGUUUUAAUUUGUUCCUUCAAAUCUAUCAGCUGUUCCAGAGAAUCCAAACUGUGACUCCUCACAGUACUAUGCUACAACAAGAAUUCAGAUGGACAUAAUUUGCAAGUAGCUCCCAAACUCACAGACCUCUUGUACAGCUAAUUUUUCAGGGCACAACUCUCAGGAGAACACCUAGUGACGUCAAUUCUUCAGAGGAGAAUUUCCUCCACCAGAAGUAAUUUUGAGCACCAGUGACCUGCAAAUCACUCUGCUAUGAACCCUGGUAGAUAAAAAGAUGAAUGCAAGAAGAGCAAGACUCUUUAGGGAACAUAUCAUCUGGUGGAUGUGGCUUUAGUACACGAGAGUGGGUAGGGAUAGAGAAGGUGGGAAUUGGGCGGUGUGGGAUGAGUACAAAAUUAGCUAUGCUGAAGCUCAUGCUUCCAAAUGGAGAAAAGGCAUCCUCUGUGAGCACAUAGAGUUCAGGUUUUUGGGAGAUGGCUCAACUGGUGUAAAAGGAACCCAGCAUUUCUCCUGCUAGAUUAUAACAAUAAUCCCCCAUUUGCAUAACACAUUUUCACAAUAUCGCACUUAAUCCUUGAAAUAGCUCUGGGUGAUAGAUAUUUUUAUUCUAAUUUUAUAGACAAAGAAAUGGAGUCUCAGAGAGGUUAAGGUCUUCAUGGCCCUAUACCUAGUAGGCUCAUGGUUGAACAGCUGGUCUGUCUCUUAAGUUCUCAGUCCUGUGUCCUUUUCAUCAGCAUAAUCACCUUUAAAGCAUGUGGUUUUAUCUUCCCCAGAGUUCCCAAUGUAGUGCUUACCAAGUGAAGUUACCCAAUUAGUACAAAUCAUUUCAUUUAUGCCCAGGGGUCAUGUUUGAUGAUACUACAUAUAGUAUAAGCACCUUACUUUUUAUUCCUCAAGCACCUUUAUAUAUCUAGUAAGUAGUAAUAAUAUUUGUUUUCAUUACUGAACAUAGCCAGGGGCACUACUAUGCACUUUUCAUAUGUUAUUUGCCUGUCUCCUUCAUCAACCUAAAAUUUCUUGAAGGGAGAUAGUAUAUGCUAUUCAUCUUUGAAUCUUAGAAAUUUGAUUCACUUGAAGUAAAAGUUAUGCUCUACCUUUCAAGUGCUAUAGGCCAUUUCCCAAGUAUCUUAAACAUUUUUCAGGACUAUAGAGAUAUUGCCACACACAAACUAGACUGAUAUCUAGUCUUAGGAAAAAAAUCGAGGUUCAUGAAUAGUUUAAUUUUGUAAUUUCAAAAUAGCCUGAUUGUUGGUCUCUGUUGGAUUAUAAGCUUCAUAAAGAUAAAGCAAUGUUUGCCUCUUAUAUUCCCUUUCCUUCAGCAUUUUUUUUUUACCUGGAACAUAGCAGGUACAUAAUAAUUAUUCACUGAAUGAUUAACACCACUAUUUUUUCUCUUAGGGGAAGAUAUGAUUU